rnacentral:tRNA from 1 species
GCCCGCGUGGCUCAGUGGUAGAGCGUGACACUAGUAGGAGAUGAGAUCCGAACCAUGUCAAGGUCGUCAGUUCGAUUCUGGCCGUGGGCA